AAUAUUGGACAAUGGGCGAAAGCCUGAUCCAGCCAUGCCGCGUGUGUGAAGAAGGUCUUCGGAUUGUAAAGCACUUUAAGUUGGGAGGAAGGGCAGUAAGUUAAUACCUUGCUGUUUUGACGUUACCGACAGAAUAAGCACCGGCUAACUUCGUGCCAGCAACCGCGGUAAUACGAAGGGUGCAAGCGUUAAUCGGAAUUACUGGGCGUAAAGCGUGUUGUGGCGGGUUCGAAAAAAAAAAGUUAAAAUCCCGGGGUUCAACCUUGGACCUGCUUUAAUACCUGCUGGGUUGGAUUACGGUGGAGGGAGGUGGAAUUUCUUGUGUGGCGUUAAAAGGCGUGAUUAAGGGAAGGAACACAGGGGGGGAGGGGACCACCCUGAACUGUUCCUAACACGGAGUGGCAAAGCGGUGGGAGCAAAC
rnacentral:rRNA from 1 species